AGAUGAGGAACGAAGAUAGAAUAGAGAGAUGUCAGCUAGAGUAUAGAGUAUAGGUUUGAUAGUGUUUAGGAUAGAAAAAUCCCCUAUGUAGAAUAGGAUAUUUUUCUAUAGGGUGCAAGACUUGUACGGAUAAUGAAAUAACGUAUAUAACUAUACUUUGGAGUCGGAUUGCUUGAAAAUGCAGCCUUAAGUUGGUGAUAAACUUCAUCUAAGGCUAAAUAUUGACGCAAAUUUGAUAGCAAACAACAAGUGCUAUGAAGGAAAGUUACAAAGAACUUUGAAGAGAGAGUUCAAGAAAACGUGAAAUCGUUGAAGUGGUAACAGAGAGUGUUAAUAUAGUCUAGUGAAUAAAUUAUAAAUAUUGUAUAGAUAUUAUAUGAUAUAAUAACAUGUAUGCCACUAACGUUGACAGCAUUGAUAGCACAAUCUGAGCUGUUUAAUGAAUAAUAAAUCUAAAAGCGCAAUGAAAAUGAAGACACGUGUAAACAGUUAACAUGGAAGAUAUUUUCGUUAUCAUACGGAAAAUAUUACACCAUGGCCCUGUCUAAUCUGCAUGCAGAUGGGCAGCGGUAGAGCGUACAGGUUGCGACCCGAAAGAUGGUGAACUAUGCCUGAGCAGGAUGAAGUCAGAGGAAACUCUGAUGGAGGUCCGUAUCGGUUAUGACGUGCAAAUCGAUCGAUAGACUUAGGUAUAGGAGCGAAAGACUAAUCGAACCAUCUAGUAGCUGGUUCCCUGCGAAGUUCCCCUCAAGAUAGUUGGAGUUAAUUAUUAUUUCUCGAUAUGCUAUACGGUCAUAUCCGGUAAAGCGAAUGAUUAGAGGAGUUGGGAUUGAAACGACUUCAACCUAUUCACAAAGUU
rnacentral:ncRNA from 1 species